UAGGUGGCAAGCGUUGUCCGGAAUUACUGGGUGUAAAGGGAGCGUAGGCGGGGUAUCAAGUCGGAAGUGAAAAUUAUGGGCUCAACUCAUAACCUGCUUUUGAAACUGAUAUUCUUGAGUGAAGUAGAGGCAAGCGGAAUUCCUAGUGUAGCGGUGAAAUGCUUAGAUAUUAGGAGGAACACCAGUGGCGAAGGCGGCUUGCUGGGCUUUUACUGACGCUGAGGCUCGAAAGCGUGGGGAGCAAA
rnacentral:rRNA from 1 species